GGAGAGGUGUCUGAGUGGUUGAAGGAGCCGCUCUCGAAAAGCGGUGUGCCCGCAAGGGUACCGGGGGUUCGAAUCCCCCCCUCUCCGCCA
rnacentral:tRNA from 1 species